rnacentral:rRNA from 1 species
UUGAACGCUGGCGGCAGGCCUAACACAUGCAAGUCGAGCGGAUGAAGGGAGCUUGCUCCUGGAUUCAGCGGCGGACGGGUGAGUAAUGCCUAGGAAUAUGCCUGGUAGUGGGGGAUAACGUCCGGAAACGGGCGCUAAUACCGCAUACAUCCUGAGGGAGAAAGUGGGGGAUCUUCGGACCUCACGCUAUCAGAUGAGCCUAGGUCGGAUUAGCUAGUUGGUGGGGUAAAGGCCUACCAAGGCGACGAUCCGUAACUGGUCUGAGAGGAUGAUCAGUCACACUGGAACUGAGACACGGUCCAGACUCCUACGGGAGGCAGCAGUGGGGAAUAUUGGACAAUGGGCGAAAGCCUGAUCCAGCCAUGCCGCGUGUGUGAAGAAGGUCUUCGGAUUGUAAAGCACUUUAAGUUGGGAGGAAGGGCAGUAAGUUAAUACCUUGCUGUUUUGACGUUACCAACAGAAUAAGCACCGGCUAACUUCGUG